AGAAUCAACGCUGGCGGCGUGCCUAACACAUGCAAGUCGCACGAGAAAGGGACUUCGGUCCUGAGUACAGUGGCGCACGGGUGAGUAACACGUGAAUAAUCUACCUCCGAGUGGGGAAUAACUGAGAGAAAUCUUAGCUAAUACCGCAUAACACUUACGAGUCAAAGCAGCAAUGCGCUUGGAGAGGAGUUCGCGGCAGAUUAGUUAGUUGGCGGGGUAAUGGCCCACCAAGACGAUGAUCUGUAUCCGGCCUGAGAGGGCGCACGGACACACUGGAACUGAAACACGGUCCAGACUCCUACGGGAGGCAGCAGUGGGGAAUUUUGCGCAAUGGGGGAAACCCUGACGCAGCAACGCCGCGUGGAGGAUGAAAUCCCUUGGGAUGUAAACUCCUUUCGAUCGGGAAGAUAAUGACGGUACCGAGAGAAGAAGCCCCGGCUAACUACGCGCCAGCAGCCGC
rnacentral:rRNA from 1 species